rnacentral:lncRNA from 1 species
UGAAACGAUUUUUAUACUCAUUUUUUGUAUUAUUUUCACUUCUUUUUUGGUAUUAUUUUCACUUCUUUUUGGAGCUAUGGAGUGGUAGGUAUUAUUUUCAUGUUUUCACUAAGAAAUUUUCACAAAAAUUGCAGCAAUGUUUUUGGGCAAAUUUACGAGAAGGAACAGAAAUUUUCACGACAGUAGAAAUUUUCACGAAAGUUUCACAAUUUAUCCCAGAAACAUAGCUACAAUUUUUGUGCUGGUAUAGCAACUUCAGAGUUAUUAGGUGUAAUUUGGCUUAUUUAGGUUUGAACAAUAUGUAAUAUGUAAUUUAUGAACAAGUGAUUAAUUUUUUUAUUGGAUUAGGAUUGUUCUAUGGGUGGCCAGAAUAGGGGAUUAUGUCAUUCUUUUAGGAUGGCGGGACACAUGUUGUCGGAAUGUCCAAAAAAGAUGAAAUGCCCAAACUAGGUGGUUGGAGGUAGAAAAGAAUUCGGACAAUAAAGGGUUGUUGUUCCAUAGUUGUACCUGCAACUGUAGGCUUUUCAAGUUUUCUAAUGUUCCACCAUAUAAAGAGUAUUCAUUGCAAGGUGAAUCAAGUGGCACUACCAACGGAAGUGAACCGGUCGACGAUUUGUCCCGUAUAUUGACGACGUGUGCAAAAAUAACCAAGGAGAGAAACUUGGAGAUUUCAUUGAACAUCACCAUACGCAAAGGAAAACAAGUUUCAGAAGAUGUAGAAUGAAAUCUAUGUAAUUGAAUAGCUUCGACUUACUGUACUUAAAAUUCCAGUGAUGGUUGUCCUCGGAGCACAUUUUCUAUUGAGAUGUCUUCGUCUAGAGCAGUUUGCAUUGUAUGUAGUGAGCUAUUACAAGUGUUCUCAAUCAAAUUUUCAUGUUGCAGUAGAUUGCUUAUUUGGUUGUCUACCCAAUUAUGCUAUUUU